CAAGUUGUUUUCUAAUGCUCACGCGCUAUGGCCGAAGUCUGCAAUGGAUGGGAGAAAGGGGAGGACCAAAUUAGCUCAGAUUCUUUACAGUUCACAGCAUCAGCUGUUUUAUUUAUUUGUUUUAGAUAGCGAAGCCAAAAAAAGUUGGAUGGGGGCAAAAAUGCCAACUAAAAUAGCUCAUAGUUCUGAAGUAGAGAGAAGUCAGAAUUUCCCGUUUUCUCUUGUUUCUCUCAGGGAUGGUCUAUAUGACUGGCGCUCCUUGGAAGCAGUGCUGAGGGCAUUAUCAAGAGUUUCCAGGGCCUCCUCUUUCUCCUGAAACCUUCUUCAAGGAGGGUAAAGUUUUAAGAGAGUUCAAAAGUACCACAGACUUCCAGGGAAUAGUAGUUUUUGUCGUGACAAGCAUGGACAUUUUCUUGCGUCAUGUACUAUUUCAGAAGGUAGAGACCACAAAAAGGCUUCUUACUGUGGCCACCGUGGACAUCUUCCCACAUCUACAAGGUGUUGUGGCCACAUCAUUGCUGCACCCAGUUUCCUCAGAAGAAAUACCUGUUGCUUAGGUUUAGAAACGAGGCAUGUAUACGUAUUUAACAGUUCUCAGAAUGUCAAGGAUCCCUCCUCAGAGCAAGAGCUCGAAUUUACAAAAGAAGCACUACCUCCUUUAUCACAUAGUAAAAUAAAGGACCGUGUCUGCUCCAGGACAUGGCUGGUUACAAUUUUGUUUUAAAGAAAUCACCAGAGAAACCUGAGAUUCCAACCCAGCCUUUUGUUUGCCUGGGAUUAUAGCCCAGUUCUUACAAGCAGAGAAGCCUAGGACACUAACCCAGCUUCAAGAGUAUACUCAGAAUCUCAAGAAUCACAAUCUGUGCUGCCCAUUCUUCAACAGACUGUCAUCUGGAGGCCUGGAUUGGAUCAGGAGUCGGGCUCACCAAUGGAGCCCCAAUCAGUCAGUCAGGAGUGAAGAUGAAAGCUUCAAACACUACACCCUCCCCCGCCCACCGCCUCAGCAACCAACCUCCAGGGAGGGGAAAGGGGGCAGAAGUUUGAGUUAAUAACUAAUAGCUAAAGAUGUAAACAAUAAGCCUCCAUAAAACCCCAAAAGGACUGGACUGGUUUCUGAGAGCUUCCAGGUUGUUGAGCACGUGGAGGUUCUGGGAGGGUCCACACCCAGAGAAGGCAUGGAAGCUGACCCCUUCCCCAUACCUUGCUCUUUGCAUCUCUUCCAUUUGGCUGUUCCCGAGUUGUAUACUUUGUAAUAAGUGGGAUUUCCACCCAACAACAAUUCAGCCACACUGCUUCACACAUCUAGAAUCCAUCCAAAAUUGUAAAGGCUUUGUGGCACUACAGUGAAACAGGCAAGAACAUCUUCCAAACAGCCAGCACAAGAGCACACAGGAGGCCGGCAUAAUCACGAAUUGCAGCUGUCUGAAGGGCAGUCACAUAAAAGAGGAGAAGCUUCACCUUUGCUUCACAAGGCACAUCUUGAACCAGGGAUGGAAAUUACAGAGAGGCCAAAACCAGCUCGGUGUGAGCAGGACUGGUAACAGACUGGCCAAGCAACAGAAGGGGCUGCCCUGUGAAGAAGCAAGCUCUCUGUCAAUGGGAGGUGCAAGCUGAGCCUGCACUACCUUUUGUCACGGUUGCUAUGGAAAAGAUUAAGAGCCCGGGCUGCUUGAGUGUCUGCAUGACAUGGCAGCUGGCUCCCUGAAGAGCACGUGAUCCGAAAGAGAGAGCAAGACAGAAGCGCAGUGUCUUCAACAGCAUAUCUUUGAAAGUCAUAUUCCACCGUUUUCACUACAUGGGCCUGGCUGUUCCCACCUCAAACCACUUCUUAGCUUCAUUUGUUCUCAUAACAACAGGAUAGCCCUUCCUCCUCUGGGGGCCUGGGCAUCAGCAAGUCGGAUGGCAGUGGAAGGUGGAGAAAUGGAAUCCUGCUGGGGGCUCAGGAGGCCUGCCCCCUGAUGCUGCCGUGCACUGCAGAUGUCCUUGAUGAAGAGAAUGAAUGGAAGGUAUUGGAAGGGAGCUGAAGUUCAACAAAUGACCACCUAAUGAAAAAGUCAGCAGUGGAUUGCUUGAGAUCUUGAGCACCCUGUACUGUUAUUAGUAUUUAUAAACAUGUUUGAAAGAUGUUCCCUUCCUUCACUGUAGUGCCAGAAAGCCUUUAACAUAUUGGGUCCGGUCUAGAUUUGUAAGGAAGUAUGGCUGAAUUGUUAUCGGGUGGAUACAGUUUACAUGUUUAAAGCUGUCUUUCUCAAUGGCAAAAGGGCAUACUGCUGUUAUUGUCAGUGAGGGGUCAGUAGUUUAAAUGAUGAAACUCUGGGGAUCAGCGUAAAGUAAACCAACAUACUGCAUGUAAGUAUCAAGUAAAUGAGCAGAGACAGCCCCUGGUUUACAAACACCUGACUUAAGCAUCGUCCAUCCUACAGGUAAAUUCCUCAUUCUUACUGCUGUGAGAACAAUUGUUAGGAGCCAAAAACUUCAGAGCUUUCAAAGAACUGUAAUGAGAUAGCACAAUGCAGGCAAAAAGCCAGUGUUAACGGAGCAAGAAACUUCCCAGUUCUGACAUUCACAGCAUGACCUAGAGCAUGCGGAUUCCCCUCUCUGAGUCACUGGUUUCUCACCUGCAAAAGAAAGCGGGGACAGGGAAGGAGGAAGAAGCUUCGAGAGGCUGGAACAGUUGAGGGAGCGCUGACACGGUAAAGGCCACUUUGCUCAUCAUCACCAGGCGUGCUGCCGAAAAUUUCCACUCUGUUUACUCCCAAGACCUUACUCCUACUAUGUGGAGACACAUUUGAAUAAAAAAUUGGCCUCUUUUCAAAGUCAAAAUUCUGUAAGCAAGGAGAGGAGCCAGCCUCCCGGC
rnacentral:lncRNA from 10 species